GCAUGGAAGAAGCUUGCUUCUUCUGAUGGCGACCGGCGCACGGGUGCGUAACGCGUAUCAAACCUGCCUCAUACUCGGGGAUAGCCUUGCGAAAGUAAGAUUAAUACCCGAUGUUGUUAUGUUACCGCAUGGUGAUAUAACCAAAGAUUUAUCGGUAUGAGAUGGUGAUGCGUCCGAUUAGGUAGUAGGCGGGGUAACGGCCCACCUAGCCUUCGAUCGGUAGGGGUUCUGAGAGGAAGGUCCCCCACACUGGAACUGAGACACGGUCCAGACUCCUACGGGAGGCAGCAGUGAGGAAUAUUGGUCAAUGGACGAAAGUCUGAACCAGCCAAGUAGCGUGCAGGAUGACGGCCCUCUGGGUUGUAAACUGCUUUUAGUUGGGAAUAAAAAAGAGGACGUGUCCUCUAUUGUAUGUACCUUCAGAAAAAGGACCGGCUAAUUCCGUGCCAGCAGCCGCGGUAAUACGGAAGGUCCAGGCGUUAUCCGGAUUUAUUGGGUUUAAAGGGAGCGUAGGCGGAUUAUUAAGUCAGUGGUGAAAGCACGGUGGCUCAACCAUCGUUAGCCAUUGAAACUGGUAGUCUUGAGUGCAGACAGGGAUGCUGGACCUCGUGGUGUAGCGGUGACACGCUUAGAUAUCACGAUGAACUCCGAUCGCGAAGGCAGGUGUCCGGGCUGCAACUGACGCUGAGGCUCGAAAGUGUGGGUAUCAAACAGGAUUAGAUACCCUGGUAGUCCACACAGUAAACGAUGUAUACUCGCGGUUUGCGAUAGACAGUAAGCCGCCAAG
rnacentral:rRNA from 1 species